UACAGAGGUCCCAAGCGUUGUUCGGAUUCACUGGGCGUAAAGGGUGCGUAGGCGGUCGGGUAAGUCUGAUGUGAAAUCUCACAGCUUAACUGUGAAACUGCAUUGGAUACUAUCCGGCUAGAGGAAUGGAGGGGAGACUGGAAUACUUGGUGUAGCAGUGAAAUGCGUAGAUAUCAAGUGGAACACCAGUGGCGGAGGCGAGUCUCUGGACAUUUCCUGACGCUGAGGCACGAAAGCCAGGGGAGCAAACGGG
rnacentral:rRNA from 1 species